rnacentral:misc_RNA from 1 species
AUACAGAUAGCAUAUUUCGUGGAACCUAAUCAUGAUUAUCUUGUUGAAUGCUUGCCCACCUGCAAGUCAGAAAAAAAAUCCUCCCAAGUUUCCUCCAAUCAAAUGUGGGACUUACCUCAGUCAACGCUGCAAGGAUACUCGUGCUGAUUUAAAUGGAUAACAAAAACCUCAAACUUGAGCACGCCAAAGAAUUAAGAUUUGCAAGGCAUAUCCUUCUGAAGAUUAGUGGUGAUAAUUGAUAAAGCUCCCCACAAAUGAGGAGCUGAUAAUCAUAAGGUUCAGUAUAUGGUUUCCAAGG